GUCUCGGUGGCGCAAUUGGUAAGCAUACACUUCCACAUUUCAGCACACCCAUCAUUUACUAAUUCAUGAUUAAAGGUUAGCGCGUACGACUGUUAAUCGUGAGGUUGAGAGUUCGAUCCUCUCCCGGGACG
rnacentral:tRNA from 1 species